CCUUUACAUACUGAAAACUUUACUGCAGAUAUUUUGUUUUAAAAAUAGCUUUGCAUAGUAAAUGCAAUUACUUUUGUAAAACUAAUUAUGUUAAGCUGAAAUAUACUGCAUUAUUGUGUUUAAUGUAUUAUUAUCUUUACUGGAUAUUAUCUCUCAGUGUAUCCAGGUCUAAGUAAUCUCAGUGAACUAUACAUUGCCUCAAAGGUGGUUUUGUAAUGAUUUGUAGUCACAUUUUUAUUGGAAUAUGUAGAAGAAACGGCAAAAUACUUACAAGUUUCUUUUUAUUUUUUAAAAGCAGCUAGAUAGACGCAUACUUGCCACCUCAUACGUGUGCUCCUUGGCCACAUCAAGGGCAAUAGCCAACAUGCCUAUGGCUAAAAACUUUACUUUGCAAACUUAAAGCACUGCUCGGUGCUUCAUUUUUAUAUCCUUCACAACACGUGUGAACUCAUCCAGAGACACACACAUGUCCUCAUGCCCUUUGUUUCCACCUGAAUAUAUGAUCAGCCAUAGCUAAUUGGGACCAUUGUCUUUCGUUUAUGUCUGUCUUACUGCAUGAAGCAACACUAGACCCAUUCUCAUUAAAAUAAGUUCUUGGUGAUAAACUGUUGGCACUGCUACUUUUUAAAAAAUGCCGCUUUUAUGAUUUUAUGAUGAACAUUUGUACAAGUCGACACAAGGUCAUUUACUAGAAGCCCUAAGUCUUUCCUCCUCUUCUUAGAUGACACGCUCACUUCAUAAGCAUUGCAACACAAAUUAAAGAUUUCAUUAACAAUGUGAAAAACAUUUCCCUAACUGAUAUUAGCACCACUUAACUAGUAAAAGCAUUAGCUCUCUAGUUUGCCAGACUUCCUCUACCCAAUACACAGCUAACAUGUGUUACACAGCCUGUAAAAUGAAGUUUAAUUUAUUUCAGCUUCAGAGAAAAGAUACUGCACACAUUUAUCAGUGAGAGCACUCCCUGCCAUCCAGAGCAGCUUGUUUAUCCCAAAAGAACCUUUGGUUUUGCUUUUGGCCCCUUCUGCUGUUGACCACUUUUACACAUUUUAAAUGUAAUAUGUUGUGAGAAUAAACUUAGCUGCGU
rnacentral:lncRNA from 1 species